CUUCUGCCAUCUUUAACUUCAAACCCUAAUUUCAAAAUCCCAAUCACUUUGCAAAUUUGUAAUUGAUGGACAUCGACGUAUCUGGAUGGAUUCUUGAGUUCCUUCUCCGUCAAAGUUCACUCGACAAUGGUACGUUAAAUGAUCUAAUCCGCGUUCUUCCAAUUCCUGACAACAAUCUGAGACUUAAAAAGAGCCUAAUCCUGCGAAAAAUCGAGUCGGAUAUAGAGAAAGGUACAAUCUCCGACCGUACAAUCGAGUUUCUCGAACAAAUUGAAGAAUUGGAGCUCAGAGAAGGAUCCGUAGAAGUUUCUGCAGCCAUGAAGGCAGCUUAUUGCACAGUCGCGAUGUAUUGUACUACAAAAUCUAUAGAAGAGGGCGCUGGUGAUAUAAAAGAGAAGUAUACUACUGCUGUGAGUAGGAUUUGGAGUGGUCGGAUUCGUGAAAUUGAGAUCUCUGAUGUGGCGAAGAUAGUGGGAUUGGUUGAAGCUGACUUGUUGCGUUGGAUGAAUGAUAUCGAGGCUGGGGUUUUGGAUGUAGAUGUUUUUAAAAAUGUUUUGGCAAGGUUUAAAGGAUUGGAUGUAUUGGAAGUCCUUCGUCGGUAUGUAAAUGAGGCAAAAGAAAAAAUGGGUCCUUCCUUUAUUGAAUUGGCAUGCGAGACAAUUUUGAGUGAUGAUGCAUUAAGCAAAACCAUGGGUUUGAAUGAAGUUUCAGAACUCAAUAAUCAGAUUAAAGACAAUACACCAACUGUUGCUCCGGUUGUUAGUCAAGAUAUGAAUGCGGAUCCCAAUAGCAAGGGUAAUGAAGCAUUGCGGACACGUGUACCACCAAGAGACAAGCAUGGUGGCCCAAGAUGUUUCAGAAAACCAGGACAUGGUGGAACUCACAGAGGAGCCAAGAUUGUUGAUCCUAUUGAGACAAAUGCGUAUGAUUGCCUUUCUACCCCUGAAGUGAAUAAAGUACGAGAAGCCCUUAAGACCAGUUCUUUUGAACUUCAUGCAGUAGUGAAGGACCCUCUUCAGAAAGCAUUACGCAUUGCUGAGUCUUUAAAAGCCAACACAACAACAGGAGAAAAUAUGUGUAACAAACAUGUUGUAGGCAAUGAAAGCAGGGUGGAGGAUGUUGAAGCUCCUAGUCCCUCACACGAUAGAAAGGGUAAAAAUCUAGAAGCCAAUGAAAAUGAUAGUGUUUGUAGGGAUCAAAGGGAUAAACAUAAGCCCAACCUAUUUGAACGAAAUAGCACUGCUCAUACUCUUGAGUGGAGUGACUCCAUUGAUAGCCUUACUGAAGGGUCACCAACAAGACCUCACUUGCCAAGCCCUAAAAAGAGAGCAGUCUCACCUUUAAGUGUAUACAAAAUGGCAAAACUUGUAAAACACAGACGAAAAAAGAGAUGGACCACAUUAGAGGAGGACACUCUCAGGACUGGUGUUCAAAAUUUAUGUUUGUUUGUGAAGGUAUGGUAAAGGAAAUUGGAAGGUAAUUUUAAAUAUAUACCGUGACAUCUUUGAAGAUAGAACAGAGGUUGAUUUGAAGGACAAAUGGAGGAAUCUGACACGCUGGUAACACAAAUUGUUUUGAAACAAGUGAAGGCAAAUUAAAUGGGAUUUUUGUUGAUAUUUUUGUAGCUUCAUUUUCUGGCUAUAACUUCAUCCAAUGGUAUGUGUUUUUGUGUAUCCUGUUUUUGGGUUUUAUGACGAUGCUUUUGGAUGAUGCCUUCCUUAUGUAUAUAUAAACAGUGUAGCUAACAUUCCCUUUUAGAUAUAUGUUUAUGUUUAUCGAGUA